rnacentral:tRNA from 1 species
GCGGCUGUGGUGAAGUGGUUAACACACUGGAUUGUGGCUCCAGCAUGCGUGGGUUCGAUCCCCACCAGCCGCCCCA